UGGUGGAGCAUGUGGUUUAAUUCGAUGCAACGCGAAGAACCUUACCUACUCUUGACAUCCACAGAAUUUAGCAGAGAUGCUUNGGUGCCUUCGGGAACUGUGAGACAGGUGCUGCAUGGCUGUCGUCAGCUCGUGUUGUGAAAUGUUGGGUUAAGUCCCGCAACGAGCGCAACCCUUAUCCUUUGUUGCCAGCACGUAAUGGUGGGAACUCAAGGGAGACUGCCGGUGACAAACCGGAGGAAGGUGGGGAUGACGUCAAGUCAUCAUGGCCCUUACGAGUAGGGCUACACACGUGCUACAAUGGCAGAUACAAAGUGAAGCGAACUCGCGAGAGCAAGCGGACCACAUAAAGUCUGUCGUAGUCCGGAUUGGAGUCUGCAACUCGACUCCANGAAGUCGGAAUCGCUNG
rnacentral:rRNA from 1 species